CUUGGGGAUGUAGCUCAUAUGGUAGAGCGCUCGCUUCGCAUGCGAGAGGCACGGGGUUCGAUUCCCCGCAUCUCCAUACUC
rnacentral:tRNA from 1 species